rnacentral:rRNA from 1 species
UACGUAGGGCGCGAGCGUUGUCCGGAUUUAUUGGGCGUAAAGAGCUCGUAGGCGGCUUGUUGCGUCGGCUGUGAAAACCCGCGGCUUAACCGUGGGCUUGCAGCCGAUACGGGCAGGCUAGAGUUCGGUAGGGGAGACUGGAGUUCCUGGUGUAGCGGUGAAAUGCGCAGAUAUCAGGAGGAACACCGGUGGCGAAGGCGGGUCUCUGGGCCGAUACUGACGCUGAGGAGCGAAAGCGUGGGGAGCGAACAGG